UACGUAGGGUGCGAGCGUUGUCCGGAAGUUAUUGGGCGUAAAGGGCUCGUAGGCGGAUUCGUCGCGUCGGCUGUUGAAAUCCCGAGGCUCAACCUCGGUCUGCAGUCGAUACGGGCGGACUGGAGUUCGGACAUGGGAGAGCUGGAAGUUCCUGAUGUAGCGGUGAAUACGGCAGAUAUCAAGGAGGAACACCGGUGGCGAAGCGGUCUCUGGCGAUAACUGACGCU
rnacentral:rRNA from 1 species